rnacentral:rRNA from 1 species
CGAACCGUCCGAACGUUAUUCGGAAUCACUGGGCUUAAAGGGUGCGUAGGCGGCGCGGAAAGUUGGGUGUGAAAUCCCUCGGCUCAACCGAGGAACUGCGCCCAAAACUACCGUGCUCGAGGAAGAUAGAGGUGAGCGGAACUUAGGGUGGAGCGGUGAAAUGCGUUGAUAUCCUAAGGAACACCGGUGGCGAAAGCGGCUCACUGGAUCUUUUCUGACGCUGAGGCACGAAAGCUAGGGUAGCGAACGGGAUUAGAUACCCCGGUAGUCCUAGCCGUAAACGAUGAGCACUGGAUUGGAGGGUCCUCCAUAGCCUUCCAGUCGCAACGAAAGCGUUAAGUGCUCCGCCUGGGGAGUAUGGUCGCAAGGCUG